CACACACACACACUGAACACACACACACACACACUGAACACACACACACACACACACACACACUAAACAGACACACACACACACACAACACACUAAACAGACACACACACUCUCACAAACACACACACACACUCACUAAACAGACACACACACACACACUCACUAAACAGACACACACACACUCACUAAACAGACACACACACACUAAACAGACACACACACACACACACUAAACAGACACACACACACUCACUAAUCACACACACACUCACUAAACACACACACACACACACACUGAAUGUAGCUGCGGUGAUUUGGUCUGAUCCUGUUGUAAUGACUCUAGCCCCGUCUGUUGUAACAAGUCUAGCGUCAGACCGGGGUUCAGAUCCCGCCAGUUACACACACACACACACACACACACACACAGACACACACACUCUCACUGAACACACACACAAGCCUUGUCUGAUUUUCAAGCAAAUUUAAAUCAGGACUGAGACUAGACCACUCAAUACGUGGUCAGAUGACACUGAUGCUACGCUACAGGACUGAGACUAGACCACUCAAUACGUGGUCAGAUGACACUGAUGCUACGCUACAGGACUGAGACUAGACCACUCAAUACGUGGUCAGAUGACACUGAUGCUACGCUACAGGACUGAGACUAGACCACUCAAUACGUGGUCAGAUGACACUGAUGCUACGCUACAGGACUGAGACUAGACCACUCAAUACGUGGUCAGAUGACACUGAUGCUACGCUACAGGACUGAGACUAGACCACUCAAUACGUGGUCAGAUGACACUGAUGCUACGCUACAGGACUGUUUUGCUAAAGUGAUGCCUUGGAACUGGGAAACAGAUACCGUAUUUUGGAAGAGUCGGAGGUCUCUGUCGUUGGCCCCAAAGGAACAAACAACUCUGCCCGGAAACAAGGGGACCCCCUGCCAUCUAAAGAAUUUACAACGAAACAGCUUACAAUCUGCCCGGAAACAAGGGGACCCCCUGCCAUCUAAACAAUUUACAACGAAACAGCUUACAAUCUGCCCGGAAACAAGGGGACCCCCUGCCAUCUAAACAAUUUACAACGAAACAGCUUACAAUCUGCCCGGAAACAAGGGGACCCCCUGCCAUCUAAACAAUUUACAACGAAACAGCUUACAAUCUGCCCGGAAACAAGGGGACCCCCUGCCAUCUAAAGAAUUUACAACGAAACAGCCCUACAACCAGCCACAGACAACAUUCUAGGAUGAAAAUAACUCAAGAGAGACGCAACUUAAAACAUUUACCAAGCAUCAGUCACACUGUCCUUAUUGUGGGCUCAUCUAUGAUCCCAACAUGUUUCUAUUAGCAAAGCAGAGAUCAUCCAGGACAUUGACUGUAUGAUCCCGCUACUCAUUAGUGAACACCCGACUGCUUCAGCCAACACUGUCCAUGAAGGGUCAAAUGAUAUUAAACUACAGGAAUCUGAGCAACUUAAAAAGGAUUUUAAAUCACUGAAUCAUACUGUACUUAAAUCAGGUAAACAUUAAUUCAGGUCCCGUCUCGUGGCCUUGGAAUUAUUCAUUUGAAUGUUAGAAGCUGGAUCCAGAAGUUAGAUUUGAUUGACAUAGUGGUUUCAUAAUCACAUGCUGACAUCCUGAUUAUAACUGUUACACCCUGAUCUGUUUCACCUGUCCUUGUGCUUGUCUCCACCCCCUCCAGGUGUUACACCCUGAUCUGUUUCACCUGUCCUUGUGCUUGUCUCCACCCCCCUCCAGGUGUUACACCCUGAUCUGUUUCACCUGUCCUUGUGCUUGUCUCCACCCCCCUCCAGGUGUUACACCCUGAUCUGUUUCACCUGUCCUUGUGCUUGUCUCCACCCCCUCCAGGUGUUACACCCUGAUCUGUUUCACCUGUCCUUGUGCUUGUCUCCACCCCCUCCAGGUGUUACACCCUGAUCUGUUUCACCUGUCCUUGUGCUUGUCUCCACCCCCUCCAGGUGUUACACCCUGAUCUGUUUCACCUGUCCUUGUGCUUGUCUCCACCCCCCUCCAGGUGUUACACCCUGAUCUGUUUCACCUGUCCUUGUGCUUGUCUCCACCCCCCUCCAGGUGUUACACCCUGAUCUGUUUCACCUGUCCUUGUGCUUGUCUCCACCCCCUCCAGGUGUUACACCCUGAUCUGUUUCACCUGUCCUUGUGCUUGUCUCCACCCCCCUCCAGGUGUUACACCCUGAUCUGUUUCACCUGUCCUUGUGCUUGUCUCCACCCCCCUCCAGGUGUCACCCAUCUUCCCCACUUAUGUCUGUGCCAGUUCGUCUUGUUCGUCAAGCUUACCAGCGUUUGUCCUGUCAGCUCCUGUCUUUUCCCAGCCUCUCUUUUUCUCAUCCUCUGGGUUUUGACCCUUGCCUGUCCUGAGCCUGUACCCGCCUGCCUGACCACUCUGCCUGUCUCUGACCCUGAGCCUGUACCCGCCCGCCUGACCAUUCUGCCUGUCCCUGAGCCUGUACCCGCCCGCCUGACCACUCUGCCUGUGCUGACCCUGUACCCGCCCUGCCUGCCUUGUCAUUUGCCUGCCCCUGUUACAAUAAACAUUGUUACUUCA